UACGUAGGGGGCAAGCGUUGUCCGGAAUCAUUGGGCGUAAAGAGCGCGUAGGCGGCCCUGUAAGUCCGCUGUGAAAGUCAAGGGCUCAACCCUUGAAUGCCGGUGGAUACUGCAGGGCUAGAGUCCGGAAGAGGCGAGUGGAAUUCCUGGUGUAGCGGUGAAAUGCGCAGAUAUCAGGAGGAACACCGGUGGCGAAGGCGGCUAUCUGGACAGAAACUGACGCUGAGGCGCGAAAGCUAGGGGAGCAAACAGG
rnacentral:rRNA from 1 species